GAAAUGCGAUACGUAAUGUGAAUAGCAGAAUUCAGUGAAUCAUCGAAUCUUUGAACGCAUCUUGCGCUCCUUGGUAUUCCGAGGAGCAUGCCUGUUUGAGUGUCAUUU
rnacentral:rRNA from 1 species